AGGGGGGUUGUGGGUGGGGGAGGGUUGUGGAGGAUGAGCGAUUAGAUUCCGUGGGACUCAAUGAGCAGGAGGGUGAGGGUCUGGGGCUGAUGGGCAGCUGGGAGGUCUACAGAGAGGCUGCCUGCUUUGAUUACCUGGAGCAGUUCAGGGGGCAACAUCUCAAUUGAGAGCCCCUCCCCCUCCCCCUUCCCCUUCCCUCUUUUCUGAUGGAGUUUCAUUCUUGUUGCUCAGGCUGGAGUGCAAUGACGCUAUCUUGGCUCACUGCAACCUCCGCCUCCUGGGUUUGAGCGAUUCUCCUGUCUUGGCCUCCUGAGUAGCUGGGAUUACAGGCGUGCACCACCACACCCAGCUAGUUCUUUGUAUUUUUGGUAAAGACAGGGUUUCAUCAUGUUCAUCAGGCUGGUCUCGAACUCCUGACCUCAGUUGAUCCACCUGCCUUGGCCUCCCAAAGUGCUGGGAUUAGAGGUGUGAGCCACCAUGCCUGGCCCAAGUGAGGGGUUUCUCUUAAUCAAGGAACAAACAGAGCAUGGAACAAUCUGGCGUUUGGGUAUGACAAAGACUGUUGUGUGUCCUUUGCCAACUAGACUGUUGCCAGUGGGACACAUGAAAAACUGGUAGGAGGAUUUGGGUGUCUAGAGGAUGGGAUGGAAGCAGGGGACACCUCUUCCACAAACAUUUUAUUAUGAAGAUUUCUGAACAUAAUGGAAAAGUUGAAAGGGUUGAACAGAGAACACAUUCAUCUGUCCAUCACAAUUCUACAACGAACAGUUCACGAGAUUCUUUAUUCUACAUAUCUCCGUCCACCCAUUCAUCUUAUUUUUCGAAGCACUUCAAAAGAUGUUUAGAGAUGAUAUUUGCAUGAAGCAGAAUGUACCAAUCUCAAAUGGAUCAAUCUCAGCUCACUGCAACCUCUGCCUCCCGGGUUCAAGCGAUUCUCCUGCUUCAGCCUCCAGAGUAGCUGGGAUUACAGGUGCCUGCCUGUAUUUUUAUAUUUUUAGUAGAGAUGGGGUUUCACCAUGUUGGCCAGGCUGGUCUUGGACUCACCUCAAGUGAUCCGCCUGCCUUAGCUUCCCAAAGUGCUGGGAUUACAGGCAUGAGCCACCACACCUUGCCUAAACUUUAUCAAGAUAUAAAACAUUAUCAUUGCUUCAGAGAGCGUCCCUUGGCCCCUUCCUGGAGAAUCUCUGCCAAGGAACUAUCCAUGGUCCAUCUUUUGUAAGGUAGCUGCUCAGGUAAAAACCACAUUUCCCCGUCUUCUAGGCGGCUUGGCGUGCUUCUGUGAUUAAGUUCUGGUCUGCGGAGUGUAAAUAGAUGCACCAAGCGGCAGCUUCUGAACACAUUCCUUAAAAGACACCCGGUGUGCUCUUGGCCCUUCUUCAUCUUCCCUCCGUGCCAUUGCUUGGAACAGAGCUGUCGUGGCUGCGGUCUUGGACCAUAAAGAAGGGGACACACCCAGGUAUAGUGAAACAGUGAGCUGAAAAGUCCCUGAGUCCUUAAACUCUUCAUGAGUCACUAAACUGCGAUAUUGGCACUUGGGGGAGGGGAGUGGGGGUGGGCGGUCUGGAUUGCUUACUCCAGAUUUUCAUGUGAGAGAGGAAUAAAUGUCUACCCUGCUUCAGCCUCUGUCAAUAAUAGCCUGCAUUCCAGUCAAAGUAGUCUUAAUUACAAACCUGUCCACCUUGUAAAUGUUGUACUAUAUACGUGUAUUACCUACUCAAAAAAGUGAAUCAUAAUACAAAAUUAUAUGUAAAUAAAGAGUCUGCUGUAGAGAC